UGAGUCGGUCGGGCGGCCGCGGGGGACCUGCGGGUCCCGCGAGGAACGUCCGGGCUCCAUCGGGCAGGGUGGUGGCCAACAGCCACCCGGGGUGACCCGCGGGACAGUGCCACAGAGAACAGACCGCCUCGGACUCCGGUCCGAGGUAAGGGUGAAACGGUGGGGUAAGAGCCCACCAGCGGGACGGGUGACCGUUCCGGCUCGGCAAACCCCACCCGGAGCAAGACCGAGCAGCAGGCGACACGGACGGCCCGUCCAAUGUCUGCGGGUAGGUCGCUGGAGGCCUGUGGCAACGCAGGUCCUAGAUGGAUGGUCGCCCCCGUGCACCCGGUGACGGGGCACGGGACAGAACCCGGCGUACAGACCGACUCAUCCG
rnacentral:RNase_P_RNA from 1 species